GCUCUCCGAUGUCGUAGCCAUCAUGGAAAGGUAUCGCAUCAAGCGCGUUCCCGUGAUGAACAGCAACAACAAGCUCACCGGAAUCAUCAGCCGCCAGAACUUCGUCCGGGCUGUCGCAGGCCUCGCUCGCGAUGUCCCCGACCCCACUGCGGACGAUUCACACAUCCACACCCGCAUUCUCAAAGAGAUCGGGCGUCAUGACUGGGGC
rnacentral:misc_RNA from 1 species